AUGGAAACCCAAGGAUUUAAUGCAUAUGAUUGUUUGUUUCACAUUGAAAAUCCAUCUUUAGGAGAGAAAGGGCUGGAUUUGGUAGACAGUCAUGCAGAAUUACAGAUGAUAAAGAGGAAGAUCCAGGACAAAUUGGUGCUUAAUUUGCUAGUCAGGGCUUGUCCACCCCCUGAUACUGAUUUUGAGAGGCAGCAUUUUGAAAAGCCAGACUUGUCCACUGUGGUGUACCAAGAGCCUGUUGUUUAUGAUCUGAGUGAGCCUCCUAUCUUAGCUGUUGAUCAGGAAGGAGUAGUCUUUGAGAGUCAAUGUAGCACACAUCACCCUGUUGCUCCUGCUGGUGUUUGCACACAAGAAAGCAGAAAUGCAACUAACAAGUUGAAAGCAGUUUUGGAAGAAGAAGAAGAGGGAUAUGAAGGAUUUGAGGCUUAUGAGGACAGUGAUUCCUCUGAUGAGGAUGGUCAAAUUGGAAGUUACCCUAAUUACAUGGUUGAUGAAGAAGAUGUAGAGGUGGAAGAGGGAAAGAGGCAGAGAGAGCUAGAAGUACAAGAGGAAGAAUCAGAUGAUGAUCAAUCAGAAGAGGAAGAAAUGCUGCAUUAUGAGGGUGACACUGAAGUUGAGGACCCAUUUGAGGUAGAGGAAGAUAGGACUUUUGAACAAGAAGAAGAAACUAUAGUUGAACCUGUAAAGAAGAAGCAGAAGCUGCCAGUUAGAAGAGGCCCAACCACUAGGUCACAUUGUAGUGAGCUACCAGAGGUUGAACCUGAUUUCAGACCAUCAUCAGAUGAAGAAGAGGAGGGGUUGUUGAGGGAGAGUGAUGAUGAUGGUUUUCAGCCACUCUCUUUUGUCCUACAAAAGAAAAGGAAGAGUAGGGCAAAGAAAAGGCCUCCUAGGAAGUGGUACAAUGAGAAAAUGGAGCAACCACAUGAGCAACUGUGUAUGAAGUUGUGUUUUAGGGAUCAUCAUCAAUUCAGAGAAGCUUUGUUGAAUUUGCACAUCACCCAGGCCAGGAAUUUCAGGUAUCACAGGAAUUCAGAUCAGAGGAUAAUUGUUGAGUGUACAGAUAAAAAAUGCCAGUUCUUAAUGGUGGCAACAGUUAUAAAAGGGGAGAAAACAUUUGUAAUUAAGAAGAUGAGACUAGAGCACACUUGCCCUAGUACCACUGAGACCACCAGGGUUAGUGCUAAGUGGCUAGCACAGAAAUAUGAGCAUCUCUUUAGAUCUGAUAUAACUACUGGUAUUCAGACUAUAAUUGAUGCAUGCAAUGAAAAAUAUGGUGUAGAUGUGCCCAAGUGCAUGGCAUAUAGGGCAAAGAACAUAGCUAUUGAUGCUGUGUUAGGAGAUCACAGGAAGCAAUAUCCUAGGCUUAAAGACUAUGCUCAGACUGUCAUGGACACAAACUCUGGGAGUAGAGUAAUAGUCACUACUGUUACUCCAGUACCUAAUGCAAAAAUACCCCACCCAGGCCCAAGAUUCCAUGCCAUGUUUUUUUGCCUUAAUGGAGCAAGGGAGGGGUUUCUCAAUGGGUGUAGGCCUUUCAUUGGUUAG
rnacentral:rRNA from 1 species